GCCGCGGUAAUACGUAGGGUACGAGCGUUGUCCGGAAUUAUUGGGCGUAAAGAGCUCGUAGGUGGUUGGUCACGUCUGCUGUGGAAACGCAACGCUUAACGUUGCGCGUGCAGUGGGUACGGGCUGACUAGAGUGCAGUAGGGGAGUCUGGAAUUCCUGGUGUAGCGGUGAAAUGCGCAGAUAUCAGGAGGAACACCGGUGGCGAAGGCGGGACUCUGGGCUGUAACUGACACUGAGGAGCGAAAGCAUGGGGAGCGAACAGGAUUAGAUACCCUGGUAGUCCAUGCCGUAAACGUUGGGCACUAGGUGUGGGGGGCAUUCCACGUUCUCCGCGCCGUAGCUAACGCAUUAAGUGCCCCGCCUGGGGAGUACGGUCGCAAGGCUAAAACUCAAAGGAAUUGACGGGGGCCCGCACAAGCGGCGGAGCAUGCGGAUUAAUUCGAUGCAACGC
rnacentral:rRNA from 1 species